rnacentral:tRNA from 1 species
AUGUUGCUAGUAUAAAUGUUUGUAUUAUGUUUUUUUUCCAAAAAAAUGAUCUAGAGUUAGGCGAUAUA